rnacentral:rRNA from 1 species
AGAGUUUGAUCCUGGCUCAGAAUCAACGCUGGCGGCGCGCCUAACACAUGCAAGUCGAACGAGAAAGCCGCAAGGUGAGUAAAGUGGCGUACGGGUGAGUAACACGUGGAUCAUCUACCUUCUAGUGGGGAAUACCGUUGGGAAACCGACGACAAUACCGCAUAAGCUCGAGAGAGGAAAGCAGCAAUGCGCUGGAAGAGGAGUCCGCGGUCGAUUAGUUAGUUGGCAGGGUAAAAGCCUACCAAGACUGUGAUCGAUAGCCGGCCUGAGAGGGCACACGGCCACACUGGCACUGAAACACGGGCCAGACUCCUACGGGAGGCAGCAGUGGGGAAUCUUGCACAAUGGAGGAAACUCUGAUGCAGCGACGCCGCGUGAGCGAUGAAGCCCUUCGGGGUGUAAAGCUCUUUCGGCAGGGAAGAUUAUGACGGUACCUGCAGAAGCAGCUGCGGCUAACUACGUGCCAGCAGCCGCGGUAAUACGUAGGCAGCAAGCGUUGUUCGGAGUUACUGGGCGUAAAGGGUGCGUAGGCGGUCUUUUAAGUUUGGUGUGAAAUCUCCCGGCUCAACCGGGAGGGUGCGCCGAAUACUGAGAGGCUAGAGUGUGGGAGAGGAAAGUGGAAUUCCUGGUGUAGCGGUGAAAUGCGUAGAUAUCAGGAGGAACACCGGUGGUGUAAACGGCUUUCUGGACCAUAACUGACGCUGAAGCACGAAAGCGUGGGUAGCAAACAGGAUUAGAUACCCUAGUAGUCC